CCUACAUCCAUUGACUACUUGGGAUUAUUCUCUAAGUGAUUAUUUUUAAGUGGUACUCGGGCACAUAGAAGCAGCCACUGUUCUAUGUGCAGAGAAAACCUGUAUUUUCAUUGGCCUGAUGGAAAUUGUUUGGAACAUGAGAGAGCAGCUGGAAGGACCCUCAACCCGCUGAACACCAACACAUGUUUUUGAAGAGCCUGGUAAACAGAACAAUGCAGCGGGGCUGGUGCUGUGAGCAGACACCUCAACACUGCGGGCUCUCUGCUCCCGUAUCUGUCAAUAUAAACAACGUCGAGAAGGUUUAAUGGACUGCAUAAAUCAGCGGGACACACGGACUGGAUAACCAACAUAGUCAUGAGCAAGAAUUUCCUUUGAUUUCGCUUAUUGCACUGCAUCCAUGUGACCAAAGUGAUCUAGCUUCUCUGAUCUGUUCUGACCACUGCUCCACCUCACACCCAGGCGUGGAUGCUGCCCACCCACUCCAGGAGCCGACCCCGGUACCAGGCUCGUGUGAGCGGCUGAACGAGAAGCAGGAGUCGAAACCUGCGGAGGAGCCCGCAGAAGAUCGCGGCCGCCACGACCACAAGCGGAGACAUCAUCACAAAGCCCAGGAUGAUGAGGGCGGAGCAGCUGUUGUCGUCAAGAAUGAAAACACUGCACUCUGGAACUCACCGUGAACGGUCUGCACUAGUUCAUAGUAUCUUGAGUUUUGACUCGACACGUUAUUUUGCUUAAGGCAAUACUAUGUGUGACAUCACAGGAAGAGGCACAAGAAUCAAAGUGAACAAUG